AUACUUCGCAAUGUCGAUAAUCAGAAAAACCGUCUGCUUCAACUCUCAAGCUUAUCACAACCAAAGUAAAUCUUAAAAGCUGCUAUGGAAAGAUCAAACAAAAAAGCUGGUAAAAUGCAGUUCAUUAAAAGUUUUUACAACGACCCUUUCAGAUGGUCGUUGGUGAAGAGCGUGGCUUUGUUCGCCUUGGGAGUAAAGAUUGCACGCGAGUGUGUCGACAUGGACUUAAUGGCUCCUCAAAUGCAAUAACUACGUUAAUUGUCAAACAGUUUAAUAAUAAAAGCAGAAUUGCAUAAUA